AGAGUUUGAUCCUGGCUCAGGAUGAACGCUGGCGGCGUGCCUAACACAUGCAAGUCGAACGAGAAGCCUGUAAUGAAUACUUCGGUAGGAUUAAUGGGUGGAAAGUGGCGAACGGGUGAGUAACACGUGGGUGACCUGCCCUGGAGAGGGGGUUAACCAUUCGAAAGGAUGGCUAAUACCGCAUAAUCCUAACUACAUGGGAAUGUAGAUGGGGAAAGCUCCGGCGCUCUGGGAGGGGCCUGCGUCCGAUUAGCUAGUUGGGGGGGUAAAAGCCCACCAAGGCGACAAUCGGUAGCUGGUCUGAGAGGACGAUCAGCCACACGGGAACUGAGACACGGUCCCGACUCCUACGGGGGGCAGCAGUGAGGAAUUUUGCGCAAUGGGGGAAACCCUGACGCAGCAACGCCGCGUGGGUGAAGAAGGCUUUCGGGUCGUAAAGCCCUGUCAGGUGGGAAGAACCGUUUCGAUACUAAUAAUGUCGAAGCCUGACGGUACCACCAGAGGARGCACCGSCCAAUCUCCGUUGCMAGCAGCGCGCGGUAAUACGGAGGGUUGCAAGCGUUGUUCSGAAWUAUUGGGCGUAAAGAAGCGCGUAGGCGGUCUCUUAAGUCAGGUGUGAAAGCCCGGGGGCUCAACCCCGGAAGUGCACUUGAAACUAAGGGACUUGAGUAUGGGAGGAGGGAAGUGGAAWUYCCUGGUGUAGCGGUGAAAUGCGUAGAUAUCAGGAGGAACAUCGGUGGCGAAGGCGACUUCCUGGAACCAAUAACUGACGCUGAGGCGCGAAGGCGUGGGGAGCAAACAGGAUUAGAUACCCUGGUAGUCCACGCCGUAAACGAUGAGCACUAGGUGUAGCGGGUAUUGACCCCUGCUGUGCCGUAGCUAACGCAUUAAGUGCUCCGCCUGGGGAUUACGGUCGCAAGACUAAAMCUCAAGGAAAUUGACGGGGGCCCGCACAAGCGKUGGAGACAUGUGGUUUAAUUCGACCGCAACCGCGAAGAACCUUACCGGGGUUUGAACUGSMCCUGAGCGAUCUAGAGAUGGAGAGGUUCCCUUAGGGGACAGGUGCAGAGGUGCUGCAUGGCUGUCGUCAGCUCGUGUCGUGAGAUGUUGGGUUAAGUCCCGCAACGAGCGCAACCCUUGUCUGUAGUUGCCAUCAGGUGAAGCUGGGCACUCUACGGAGACUGUCGGCGAGAAGCCGGAGGAAGGUGGGGAUGACGUCAAGUCCUCAUGGCCUUUAUGUCCCGGGCUACACACGUGCUACAAUGGGCGGUACAGAGGGCAGCGAACCUGUGAAGGCAAGCGAAUCCCAGAAAACCGCUCUCAGUUCGGAUUGCAGUCUGCAACUCGACUGCAUGAAGUUGGAAUCGCUAGUAACCGCGGAUCAGAACGCCGCGGUGAAUACGUUCCCGGGCCUUGUACACACCGCCCGUCACAUCACGAAAGUGGGCUGUACUAGAAGCCGCCGGCCUAACCCUCGGGGAGGAGGCGUCGACGGUAUGGCUCAUGAUUGGGGUGAAGUCGUAACAAGGUAACC
rnacentral:rRNA from 1 species